rnacentral:rRNA from 1 species
AGCGAACGCUGGCGGCAGGCCUAACACAUGCAAGUCGAGCGCCCCGCAAGGGGAGCGGCAGACGGGAGAGUAACACGUGGGAACGUACCCUUUGGUCCGGAACAACCCAGGGAAACUUGGGCUAAUACCGGAUAAGCCCUUACGGGGAAAGAUUUAUCGCCGAAGGAUCGGCCCGCGUCUGAUUAGCUAGUUGGUGGGGUAACGGCCCACCAAGGCGACGAUCAGUAGCUGGUCUGAGAGGAUGAUCAGCCUCACUGGGACUGAGACACGGCCCAGACUCCUACGGGAGGCAGCAGUGGGGAAGAUUGGACAAUGGGCGCAAGCCUGAUCCAGCCAUGCCGCGUGGGUGAUGAAGGCCCUAGGGUUGUAAAGCCCUUUCGGCGGGGAAGAUAAUGACGGUACCCGCAGGAGAAGCCCCGGCUAACUUCGUGCCAGCCGCCGCAGUAAAAC